rnacentral:lncRNA from 1 species
UGAGGGAUGGUUGUCAAGAGAUGAGGCGUCAACAAGUAAGAAAUAUGGUAGAAACUUUGGUAAGAAGAAAGAUAGUGAGACGAACGCAUUAAUCAGUGGGAGGAAGAGGAGGCCUCAAAUCAGAAGGAAUCCACCACCCCGGCAACAUCAUCAUCAAGUGUCAUCAGUAAUUCCGGUAUUUUCUAAUCAACAAGCAACACCAAUUCAACAACAACAACUGCGACAAAG